AUGAAAAUUAUAUUAGCGUUAUGCAUCGAAGCGAUUGUUUCAGGGAAAUGAAAGAAAAUGAAGGAAUAUUUUUACGAAAUAUUUAAUGAUUGAUUUUACUACCUUUCGAUUUUCGAGUUAAAAUUCUCUUCUUCUUUUGCUUGUGAAUUUAACAACGAGUUUUAUCUCUCUUCUUUCUCUAUGCUCCUGCUGUUGCUUACAGACAGGCUUUGAAUUUUGAUAAACGUUUCAGGGGCUUGAAAUCAGGCGAUAAACGCAGCACAGCUCAUGCAUUUAAAUAUUGACGAUUACAAUAAUCCAGCAAUCUCGAACACGUACAAAUGGUCUGCGAACCCGUUAACAUUUCCAUGCAAAUCUCUUCGAAACGGGAACGAAUCUCCAACGCGAGUAAAUCUUCAUCAGACACGUUCGGAUACAAAUGGUAGUUGGUGCGAGUGACAAAAUCAAAAUCGAAACAGCUUACCGAAUAAAGUGGCAGGACUUUUUAGCUAAAAUGAUUAGAUGCAAUGUUAUUAUGAUUGUUAUUUACUUUAUUUAUUUUUAUAUUCGCUGGCUUGGAUAGAAUGCAGGACGACCCAAGUUAGAAGUUCAGAAAGAAUUGCAUGCGAUUGAGUUAAUUAAUUGGUUGUUCUGGGGUUGAUUAAUCGAUUUGCAAAUUAGUUGUAAAAAUUUCAAAUUUCAAAGUCCAAACUCUCUGACAAUUGAAACUGUUGUAUAGAGUUUCAGCAUUUUAAUGUACAUUCAGUAACUUGAAUAUUUUGUUGAUUGUACUGAACAAAGACUAUGACUGUGCUUAUGCAUUUAUGGGGAAGUUUAAAGAAGUAAAAAUGUAAAAAUGUACAGGGUCUAUGACAACCGUUGUGAUAGUCUUCAAAGGUUAAUUUGUAUUUAUAAGAAUAUGAAUUUCUAUAAAGAAACACGACUCAGUGACUUUGAGAAUGAUUAGAUUGACAGUUGGACGGCUUUAAAAAUGACUAGGCAAGUUACAAGGAUUAAUUAACAAAUUAACUAAUAAAAGUGUGAAUUUCCAUGAAGAUCCACAGUUCAGUGACUUAGAAAAUAAUUAGCCAAAUUACAAGGAUUAAUUGACAGAUUAAAAAAGAAAAAGGGAAUAUUACUCAUAAGAAUGUGAAUUUCCACAAAGAUCACACAGUUCAGUGACUGAAGAACGACUAGGUAAAUUAGGAAGAAUAAGGAACAAUUAAUAAAUUAAAAAGGAGAGAAAUAUUGCUCAUAAAAAUGUGAAUUUUCACAAAAAUCCACACAGUUCAGUGACUUGAAAAAUGACUAGGUAAAUUAAAAAGAAUAAGGAAUAAUUAACAAAUGAAAAAGUAGAGAAAUAUUGCUCAUAAAAAUCUGAAUUUCCAUAAAGAUCCACAGUUCAGUGACUUAAAAAAUAAUUAGGUAAAUUACAAGGAUUAAUUAACAGAUUAAAAAAGAAAAAGGGAAUAUUACUCAUAAGAAUGUGAAUUUCCACAAAGAUCUGCACACUUCAGUGACUUGAAAAAUGACUAGGUAAAUUAAAAAGAAUAAGGAAUAAUUAACAAAUGAAAAAGUAGAGGAAUAUUGCUCAUAAAAAUCUGAAUUUCCAUAAAGAUCCACAGUUCAGUGACUUAGAAAAUAAUUAGGUAAAUUACAAGGAUUAAUUCAGGAAUGAAAAA